GCCAANCNGUAAAUCCAACUCACACUCCAAACGCCAGGGUAUUACGAGCUUUAGCUUAAAACCCAAAGGACUUGACGGUACCCCACCUAACUAGAGGAGCCUGUUCUAUAAUCGAUAAUCCACGAUUCACCUAACCACUUCUUGCUUUCAGCCCGUAUACCUCCGUCGUAAGCUUACUAUAUGAAUAUCUAAUAGUGAGCUAAAAGGCCACCACACCAUAACGUCAGGUCAAGGUGCAGCUUAUGAAGUGGGAGUAAUGGGCUACAAUUUCUAACCUAGAACAAACGAAAUACUCUAUGAAACACAGUCACGAAGGAGGAUUUAGCAGUAAAUAAGAAAUAGAGAGCCUUAUUAAACUCGGCCCUGGGGUGUGU
rnacentral:rRNA from 1 species